rnacentral:rRNA from 1 species
GACGAACCGUGCGAACGUUGUUCGGAAUCACUGGGCUUAAAGGGCGCGUAGGCGGGCGAUCAAGUCCGGGGUGAAAUCUUUCGGCUUAACCGGAAAAGUGCCUUGGAUACUGAUCGUCUGGAGGGAGGUAGGGGCAUGUGGAACUUCCGGUGGAGCGGUGAAAUGCGUUGAUAUCGUUUGGAACGCCAAUGGUGAAAACAGGUUGCUGGGGGUGUGCUGACGCUGAGACACGAAAGCCAGGGGAGCAAACGGG